GGCUGUCAUAGCAGUUGGUAUGAAUGGGUAGGUGCCACUACUGAUAAUAUGGCUGCCAUAACAGUUGGUAUGACUGGGUAGGUGCCACUACUGAUAAUAUGGCUGCCAUAACACCUGGAAUGAGUGGGUAGGCGCCACUACUGAUAAUAUGGCUGCCAUAACAGUUGGUAUGAAUGGGUAGGUGCCACGACUGAUAAUAUGGCUGCCAUAACAGUUGGUAUGAAUGGGUAGGCGCCACUACUGAUAAUAUGGCUGCCAUAACAGUUGGUAUGAGUGGGUAGGCGCCACUACUGAUAAUAUGGCUGCCAUAACAGUUGGUUUGACUGGGUAGGUGCCACUACUGAUAAUAUGGCUGCCGUAGCAGUUGGUAUGAAUGGGCUGCCAUAACAGUUGGUAUGAG